GGAAAAGGGGCGGCGGGCUUACACAUGCAAGUCGAGCGGGGAAGGUUGCUUCGGUAACUGACCUAGCGGCGGACGGGUGAGUAAUGCUUAGGAAUCUGCCUAUUAGUGGGGGACAACAUUCCGAAAGGGAUGCUAAUACCGCAUACGCCCUACGGGGGAAAGCAGGGGAUCUUCGGACCUUGCGCUAAUAGAUGAGCCUAAGUCGGAUUAGCUAGUUGGUGGGGUAAAGGCCUACCAAGGCGACGAUCUGUAGCGGGUCUGAGAGGAUGAUCCGCACACUGGGACUGAGACACGGCCCAGACUCCUACGGGAGGCAGCAGUGGGGAAUAUUGGACAAUGGGGGGAACCCUGAUCCAGCCAUGCCGCGUGUGUGAAGAAGGCCUUUUGGUUGUAAAGCACUUUAAGCGAGGAGGAGGCGCUCUAGGCUAAUACCCUAGAUGCGUGGACGUUACUCGCAGAAUAAGCACCGGCUAACUCUGUGCCAGCAGCCGCGGUAAUACAGAGGGUGCGAGCGUUAAUCGGAUUUACUGGGCGUAAAGCACGCGUAGGUGGCUAAUUAAGUCAAAUGUGAAAUCCCCGAGCUUAACUUGGGAAUUGCAUUCGAUACUGGUUAGCUAGAGUAUGGGAGAGGAUGGUAGAAUUCCAGGUGUAGCGGUGAAAUGCGUAGAGAUCUGGAGGAAUACCGAUGGCGAAGGCAGCCAUCUGGCCUAAUACUGACACUGAGGUGCGAAAGCAUGGGGAGCAAACAGGAUUAGAUACCCUGGUAGUCCAUGCCGUAAACGAUGUCUACUAGCCGUUGGGGCCUUUGAGGCUUUAGUGGCGCAGCUAACGCGAUAAGUAGACCGCCUGGGGAGUACGGUCGCAAGACUAAAACUCAAAUGAAUUGACGGGGGCCCGCACAAGCGGUGGAGCAUGUGGUUUAAUUCGAUGCAACGCGAAGAACCUUACCUGGCCUUGACAUACAGAGAACUUUCCAGAGAUGGAUUGGUGCCUUCGGGAACUCUGAUACAGGUGCUGCAUGGCUGUCGUCAGCUCGUGUCCUGAGAUGUUGGGUUAAGUCCCGCAACGAGCGCAACCUUUUUCCUUACUUGCCAGCAUUUCGGAAGGGAACUUUAAGGAAUCUGCCAG
rnacentral:rRNA from 1 species